rnacentral:rRNA from 1 species
GAUAAACGCUGGCGGCGUGCUUUACCAAUGCGAGUCGUACGCGGCUUCUUCGGAAGCUGAGUGGCGUCCGGGUGCGUAACACGUGGGUGACCUGCCCGAACGUGGGGGAUACCCACCCGAAAGGGUGGCUAAUACCGCAUACCCUCUCGCCUUCUGGGGUGAGAGGAAAGCCCGCAAGGGCGCGUACGGAGGGGCCCGCGGCCUAUCAGCUUGUCGGUGGGGUAACGGCCUACCGAGGCGACGACGGGUAGCCGGUCUGAGAGGACGAACGGCCACACUGGGACUGGGAUAUGGUCCAGAGCUCUACGGGGUUUAGCAUGGAGGAAUCUUGCACAACGGCCUGACGGUCGGUGCAGCAACGCCGCGUGGGGGAUGAAGGCUCUC